UACGGGGGGGGUAAGCGUUGUUCGGAAUUACUGGGCGUAAAGGGCUCGUAGGCGGCCAACUAAGUCAGACGUGAAAUCCCUCAGCUUGACUGGGGAACUGCGUCUGAUACUGGAUGGCUUGGAUUCGGGAGAGGAAUGCGGAAUUCCAGGUGUAGCGGUGAAAUGCGUAGAUAUCUGGAGGAACACCGGUGGCGAAGGCGGCAUUCUGGACCGAUAUUGACGCUGAGGAGCGAAAGCGUGGGGAGCAAACAGG
rnacentral:rRNA from 1 species